rnacentral:SRP_RNA from 1 species
GCCAGGCGUGGUGGCGCACACCUGUAAUCCCAGCACUUUGGGAGGCCGAGGCGGGUGGAUUACCUGAGGUCAGGAGUUCGAGACCAGCCUGGCCAACAUGGUGAAAUCCCGUCUCUA